UACGUAGGGUGCAAGCGUUGUCCGGAAUUAUUGGGCGUAAAGAGCUCGUAGGCGAUUUGUCGCGUCGGCUGUGAAAACUCGGGGCUCAACCCCGAGCCUGCAGUCGAUACGGGCAAACUAGAGUGUGGUAGGGGAGACUGGAAUUCCUGGUGUAGCGGUGAAAUGCGCAGAUAUCAGGAGGAACACCAAUAGCGAGGGCAGCUCGCUGGGACGUUACUGACACUGAGGCGCGAAAGCGUGGGGAGCGAACAGG
rnacentral:rRNA from 1 species